AAUUGGCCAUUUUAACUGGGGAAAAUCAGGCCCCAGGGGCAAGGCUUGGAAGGCAGAGGAGAGCAAAGACCAAACUGCUCUCCACAGUAAAUCGGGAUUUGGGGGUUUGCCUGGGUGCCUGGGAUGGGGGAGGAGCGGCCCACGUGGGAGGGGAGCUGCUCUUCACAGGCUGGGAAGGUACAAGACGGAGAGAGGGGGUGAACGCUGAGAAAUUCCUGAGGGUGAGAGUGGUUAGGGUCUUUUUUUUUUUUUUUUUUUUUUUUAAAUGGUCACACCUGCAGUACAUGGUCGGUCGUUCCCAGGCCCAGGCUCAAACCCGAACCUCAGCAAUGACCUGAGCUGCUGCAGUCAAAUUCUUACGUGCUGUGCUACAGCAAACACUCCCUUCAAGGUCUUUUAAGAGCAGAGAUGCUGGGUAUUUGGGGUCUAAUUUGGGGAUGUUUGCUGUGCUAGGCUGAGAUGGAGGCUGUAACCUCCAACGUGUGAAAGCAGAAGCAUCUUAUCUGGGGAAGGCAAAGCAAAGGCACCGCGCUGCCGCACCUGGGUGCCUGAGAGGCGAGACCAGCGGCGUGAAGCGGCGUCUGGCCUGGACUUGCCUCCCGAGAAGUCCAGUUUCAUCCUCUGGGAGCUGUGCACGUUCUGUGUCCAAGGAGCUCUAAGGGGGGCAGAUGGCAGGCGAGCUGGCAGCCUGUCUUCGGAAGAGCUGUGGCACUGCAAGCCCUCCUGUGGCCUGGCCAUGACCCGUCCUGCAUCUUCACCCACUUCGCCCACCCCAGCUCGGGCCAGGCCCGCUUCCUGCCCUACAACCUCCAAUUUCUGCCUCCCCAACACCCAGCCUAUUCCACCCUCCUCUCACAUUGCCUCUCCCUCCUUCCCUGCCCCGAGCAACUCGUCCUUUAAGCUCCGACUCCUCCAGUUCCCACACACAAGCUCUUAGCCGUGGAUGCUUCUCAACGGGAAUCUGGUAGGAAAGAGUUUUACUCUUUAAGUUUUUUUUUAAACCAACUUUUACUGCAUGCAUUCAUCUUUUCAUUAAAAUAGUUACUUUUAAUUAACACAUCAUCAGAAGGAAAAUAAAAACCCACCCCAAAGCAGGGCCGUGGUCCAGCUUCAGUAAGUGGACUACAGGGUCCACACCAAGGAUCCUGGCUGCCUGGUGGCUUUGAUCAGCCCUGGGGGGAGGGGUCACUCGAGGAGGACACCCCCACCCCCACCCCGGCCCAGGCUGGUGCUGGCGGCUGGGUUGACUUGUCGCAUGACUGAGGGGCACUUGGUGCAGUGGGACCUACCAGACUGGGGCGCAAGAAACCAGAAACAGCCUUUGCUCUCACUCGUCCGGUCGCAAAACCUCUUUGGGAAUCAGCUCCUUGAAGGUAAAGGGACAGACUCAAGCUACGUGCUAAACCUUUCAAACGCCUGUCUCAACAGGGCUUUCUCCCCUCCUUCAUACUCUCAGCAGCCAAAGGGGGAAAAACACCAAAAUCAAAACCAAACCAAAAAACCCGUGUUGGUCUUGCUUCCCAUGACUUAGGUUACUAAAUGCUGAUUUUCUGCAUAUGCUUUUGAAAAGCAGAAUACUGCCACCUCCCAACCAACACAAUGGACUAGAGGGUCCCUUUCUGCUCUAAAGAAAACUCCACUGAGCUUUUUUAUAGUUAACAUGUCAUCUUCUCAUUUGCCUCCUUCCGAAAGCAGGAUAAAGGAAAAAAAAAAAAAAAUCCCAGUUGGUUGGAUUCCAGUUCAUUGAGGGUUUACUGUACGAAGCCACGCUGGAGAGCCCUCCGGCCUUGCGAACAUGCAGUCUGCAAUCUGGACACCUUUUAUUUAAUUUCGAGAAUUCCCUUUGCAUGGCAAAAAGAGGUCGGAGGAAAGCAGAGAGGCACGGAUGGGGAAGGGCAGAAGCAGAGUGCUCACAAGCGGGCUCCCUGGCUGGGAGGGGAGGGGGAUGGAUGGAGGAGCAGAAGUCAUUCUUGACACAAACAAGGUCCUGGGGCGUGCGGCCCCACCCCAGUGCCUGGCCAUGCAAGACGCAGAAAUGGAGACUGGGGCCCGUCAGGCCCUUGGAGCAGAUGCACCAACACGGGGAGUCCUCUGGGCGCCUCCCCAGGCGCCUGCAGGGUCUGGAGCAGAGCAGGGUCUGUGUCCAUGUCCACCAGCACAGUGGGUUAACAGAUAGCACCAGUUGGGAGGCUCAGGGAAUGAGAGAGACUGAAGCUCUCAGACGCUAGCACCCACCGGCCUGGCCCUCCUGGCAAGAGACCCACUUCCCCCACGGCUGCAGCUCGAGCCUCCCCUCCCGCCUUUGCCCUGGGGAGCAAGUCAUCAGGAGGCGGUCUGACCCAGGGCAGGGGCUACGCGAUGGAAAGACGCUGCCGCUGCACCAGACCGAGGGGCCGGGGGUGGGAAGGCCAGGCUGGGGGCAAGGGCCCGCCCUACCGCCGCGGUGCUCACAGGAAGAGCCUUCUGGAAACACACCCCUGGGCCUUUUGUCGUCGAUUUGUUCCCCAUUCCCGGGAACCCAAUGGGUUGGCCCUCUGUUGCUUCAGAGCAUUUUUGGUGGGUCGGGGG